GUGGCGAACGGGUGAGUAACACGUGGGAAAUCUGCCUAAGAGUGGGGGAUAACAUUCGGAAACGGAUGCUAAUACCGCAUAUAUUCUUGAACCGCAUGGUUCUGGAAAGAAAGACGGCUUUGCUGUCGCUUUUAGAUGAUCCCGCGGCGUAUUAGUUAGUUGGUGGGGUAAUGGCUUACCAAGACCAUGAUACGUAGCCGACCUGAGAGGGUGAUCGGCCACACUGGGACUGAGACACGGCCCAGACUCCUACGGGAGGCAGCAGUAGGGAAUCUUCCACAAUGGGUGCAAACCUGAUGGAGCAAUGCCGCGUGAAUGAAGAAGGUCUUCGGAUCGUAAAGUUCUGUUAUUAGAGAAGAACAAGUCGAGGAGUAACUGUCUCGACUUUGACGGUACCUAACCAGAAAGUCACGGCUAACUACGUGCCAGCAGCCGCGGUAAUACGUAGGUGACAAGCGUUGUCCGGAAUUAUUGGGCGUAAAGGGAGCGCAGGCGGUUGGAAUAGUCUGAUGUGAAAGCCCACG
rnacentral:rRNA from 1 species